GGGCUUGACAUCCCACGAACCUGCCCGAAAAGGUGGGGUGCCCGCAAGGGAGCGUGGAGACAGGUGGUGCAUGGCUGUCGUCAGCUCGUGUCGUGAGAUGUUGGGUUAAGUCCCGCAACGAGCACAACCCUCACCCCUAGUUGCCACCGGGUUAAGCCGAGCACUCAAGGGGAACUGCCAGCGUCAAGCUGGAGGAAGGCGGGGAUGACGUCAAGUCAUCAUGCCCCUUACGCCCUGGGCUACACACGUGCUACAAUGGCCAGCACAAAGGGACGCGAGACUGCGAAGUGGAGCUAAUCCCAAAAAGCUGGUCUAAGUUCAGAUUGCAGUCUGCAACUCGACUGCAUGAAGGAGGAAUCGCUAGUAAUCGCGUAUCAGCCCGGCGCGGUGAAUACGUUCCCGGGCCUUGUACACGCCGCCCGUCACACCACGAAAGCUGUCUGUACUCGAAGUCGCUGAG
rnacentral:rRNA from 1 species